rnacentral:ncRNA from 2 species
AAUCUCAUGAUUCUCAAUGGUCUAAUUGAAUAAAAAGUUAGACAGACCAUAAGAGAAUGUGAAAAAUUUAGACAGUGAUACGGAUUGGGCAGAUAUUUUCAGUUUUAGACGCACUAGCUCCCAUUCUUAAAGGCUUUAUCCUUAUCUAAUCUAUUUUUUAAACGUAUUCUUUCCCAACUGUAAGUCUGUGACGCGCAGCGGUAAGAGAGAACGAAAGCUUAAUAAGACACUGCAUGACGGAAUCGUGUGGGAAGUCAGGCGAGUAGGUUAACAGCUCUUGAGUCCGAAUACCUGCCAGCAACUGAGCAAACAC